rnacentral:rRNA from 1 species
AGAGUUUGAUCAUGGCUCAGAGCGAACGCUGGCGGCAGGCUUAACACAUGCAAGUCGAGCGCCCGUGGCAACACGGGAGCGGCAGACGGGUGAGUAACACGUGGGAACGUGCCCUUCGGUUCGGAAUAACCCAGGGAAACUUGGAUUAAUACCGGAUACGUCCGCGAGGAGAAAGAUUCAUCGCCGGAGGAUCGGCCCGCGUCCGAUUAGCUAGUUGGUGGGGUAAUGGCUCACCAAGGCGACGAUCGGUAGCUGGUCUGAGAGGAUGAUCAGCCACACUGGGACUGAGACACGGCCCAGACUCCUACGGGAGGCAGCAGUGGGGAAUAUUGGACAAUGGGCGCAAGCCUGAUCCAGCCAUGCCGCGUGGGUGAUGAAGGCCCUAGGGUUGUAAAGCCCUUUCGGCGGGGAAGAUAAUGACGGUACCCGCAGAAGAAGCCCCGGCCAACUUCGUGCCAGCAGCCGCGGUA